rnacentral:rRNA from 1 species
GAAUGGCGGGGUGCCUAAUACAUGCAAGUCGAACGCUUCUUUUUCCACCGGAGCUUGCUCCACCGGAAAAAGAGGAGUGGCGAACGGGUGAGUAACACGUGGGUAACCUGCCCAUCAGAAGGGGAUAACACUUGGAAACAGGUGCUAAUACCGUAUAACAAUCAAAACCGCAUGGUUUUGAUUUGAAAGGCGCUUUCGGGUGUCGCUGAUGGAUGGACCCGCGGUGCAUUAGCUAGUUGGUGAGGUAACGGCUCACCAAGGCCACGAUGCAUAGCCGACCUGAGAGGGUGAUCGGCCACAUUGGGACUGAGACACGGCCCAAACUCCUACGGGAGGCAGCAGUAGGGAAUCUUCGGCAAUGGACGAAAGUCUGACCGAGCAACGCCGCGUGAGUGAAGAAGGUUUUCGGAUCGUAAAACUCUGUUGUUAGAGAAGAACAAGGAUGAGAGUAACUGUUCAUCCCUUGACGGUAUCUAACCAGAAAGCCACGGCUAACUACGUGCCAGCAGCCGCGGUAAUACGUAGGUGGCAAGCGUUGUCCGGAUUUAUUGGGCGUAAAGCGAGCGCAGGCGGUUUCUUAAGUCUGAUGUGAAAGCCCCCGGCUCAACCGGGGAGGGUCAUUGGAAACUGGGAGACUUGAGUGCAGAAGAGGAGAGUGGAAUUCCAUGUGUAGCGGUGAAAUGCGUAGAUAUAUGGAGGAACACCAGUGGCGAAGGCGGCUCUCUGGUCUGUAACUGACGCUGAGGCUCGAAAGCGUGGGGAGCAAACAGGAUUAGAUACCCUGGUAGUCCACGCCGUAAACGAUGAGUGCUAAGUGUUGGAGGGUUUCCGCCCUUCAGUGCUGCAGCUAACGCAUUAAGCACUCCGCCUGGGGAGUACGACCGCAAGGUUGAAACUCAAAGGAAUUGACGGGGGCCCGCACAAGCGGUGGAGCAUGUGGUUUAAUUCGAAGCAACGCGAAGAACCUUACCAGGUCUUGACAUCCUUUGACCACUCUAGAGAUAGAGCUUCCCCUUCGGGGGCAAA